ensembl:lncRNA
CUCUCGCCGUCGGGAUGGCGGAAGGCGGAAACCAGCGCCAUCUUUAAGGCGCGGCACACGCAGCUCUCCACAGAUGCCUUGUUGAAAGAGCCUUCAGAGGAUAAAGCUCCCAUCAUGGAAAGCAGAAGAAAAAAAUAUUACAGUCUUCAUGGUCUAUUUGAACCUCUGCUUCUAUUUGACUAUGCCUAAGCUCAAAUUUGCCUUUGGUUUGACUGCUUGAUUCCUUCAGACAGAAUCUCCGUUAUGAUCUAAAGUAGAUUAAAUUGUUUUUCUGUCCUUUGUAACUGAAAAAAGAAAAGAAACCCUAAUGAGUACUUGGAGUGAGUGGAGGAGCCAAGAGUGCUGGGUGUCUACAGAAGCUUAUGGUGAAGGAUCUGUAUAGAAGGUCGGCAAGGUGUUCAAGUGGAUCACUGAAGACUCUCUUAGCCUAAUCGUAGUGGUCAGGAGCUGACUUACCUUUCAGAAUAGACUCACAUAAAGAAUUGACUCAUGAUUUCCAACACAGUUAUAAGAAAGAUAGAUAAUUGUGAAGAGUUCAGCUCCAAUUCACAAUCUUAUAUGAUCUUCCAAACAUGACCAUUGGCAAUUAGAAGGCUUUGCUUGGCAGCCUCCUGGAGGGGACGUGCCCUUCCCACAUCAGACCUGGUGCACAGACCUUUCGGUGCAGCUGUCUGGAGGGAGAUGCAGCAAGGACUCAGCCUCCAGGCCAGCCGUGCUCUUCAGUGUAUCUGCACUCUUAGACAGGCAGCUCCAUCUGGAAGCCUCACUAGUGGAAGCCUUGGCAGAGGGUCUCACAGACAGUAUCUGUCUCUCCCAGUAAAAGUCAAUGACAACUGACUGGAAGAGGAAGAUUCAAUUGCGACUUGAGAAUGAAGAUCAAUACAAUCACUGCCCUGUCGGAGCUCAGUCUCCGUGACCGUGUGAGGUGCCUCCUCACUGUCCUGAGCACAAAGAACUUCCUUCUGCAGAAAAGAGAAG